rnacentral:lncRNA from 1 species
GAGUAUCAAUACGACUAAAUAAAAUAAUGAAGUAAAGAAGGAAAAACUAGAUCAAACAACAAGCGGAAGCUCACAACAACACAAGCAAAAGUGAAUAACAAUUACAUCAUCUCAAAGACACAAAUAUUAUCGGCUUCAUAAGUUCAAAAGUACAGGGAUUCUCGACAAAGUUUACAAAGCGGACAUAGUUAAAAAUUCACAAAGGUUCAUAAUUUACAGAGUCUCGCAGCAAAACGUGAACAGACUAUAUGUAUGAAGACAUAUAGCCGAGAGUAUACUUCUUGACUAAGUCCAAAAUAUAAACAUCGACAUCAAAAAGCUACCGUAUGUAAUAUAAAUACGGUAAAAGGAACAAUGUCAUCCAAAAUAAGUCCCCGCCAGCACCAGACCGAUCUUCCUCCUUCUCGCUUAUCCUGCACAUUUAGAAAUACAUGCAGGGCUGAGUACAAAGUACUCAGUGUACAUAUGCCGAAAAACAAAAGAAAGCUUGCUCUUAGAGCUAUAAAUUGAACUUGCCACAUUAAGCAACGCACAAGGGUUUUAGUUAGAGAAGAACAUGUGCAUGCAAUUUCGCAAAUCAUAACAUCAUAAUAAAGUAACUGCGCAGUUUAAACAUUCAUUAUGUAUGUACCACAUCCACUACUCAUCAUUAAAGGUACUGAGAAGUAGGCCUCCCUCUCAAGUACCGUGACCGGCCGACCCGAUAGACGGCUCACAGUCACCUCUGUGCACAAAAUCCCGCUUGUGGCAGGACCGAAUUCGUCUCAACAGUAGAGGGUAACACACAAGUCAUUAUUAACAAAACUCGGCAAGUCAAUUAGUUUCAAGCAUAACAUUAACUCAAAUUCAUAAUCAUAAAUAUCAUAUCAUUUAAGAAAGCUCGUAUAAUAGGUAUAUCAAAAUAAUGCCCACCUGACAAACUUAGCUUACUCUCGUAGUACUUGGACGAUCUUACCUCCGUCCUCUGCUCGUAUCUUCAGAUGUCACAAUGUCGAGUGGUUCAUGAGAUAAGAUAAACCUCAGUUAGAAACUCAUUUACUAAAAUUCCAAUCUCAUCUCAAACUUUAACUUAUCACUCAUCUUCUAUUUCCCAACUAAAUCUCAAUCCCUAGGUAUACUUAACUCCUAAGGAUUCACAAGUCCUACUCUCGACUUAACACUCAACUCGAAUUAAACCCAUAGCAAUCAAGCACAUAAACAAGCAUAAUCACAUAAACAUAUAAAUUCACACAUAGACAUGUCACAAACAAAUAUCAUUCUGCACUGACUCGAUUUAAAGACUUCACCAGAUUCGGUACAGAGCCCCACUGGAGUCAUGACCUAUACCAUUUAAAACCUCUUUGAGUCUAGUUUCAUUCAAAAAAAAGUAGGAUGAAAAACUCCAAGUAGUUUAGGAGAUAUGACUGUUUUCCUACAGUCUACCAUAUUCGGCAGUUUUGAGCAAUUGAAAACUUUGAUUUUUGAAAAAUAGUAAACGUUGCCGAAAAGGCUUGAAAUUUGGUGGGUACUUAGAUAAGACACUCAUGUCUUAAAAAUAAAAUUUAGGCUCCAAAAAGUUAGGGAAGGACACUGGAAGAGGUGACUCUAUUGGAUACUCACCGAACAUUUCGGCAGAAGGUAGCAGUUUUAGUUUUCUAUUUUAUAAAAAUAGUAAACAAAGUCCAAUUGACUUGAAAUUUUACCGGUAUGCUCCUGACUCUUAUUUAAUCUUACCAUAAAAUUUUCAAGGUCUUUAGGUAACAAGAACCCAACGAAACAGUAGGUAUAAAAGGUCAUAAAAUGACUCCAAACUUGAACAUACAAGCAAUUAUACCUAGACUUUGGAUUUCUUCGAUGCAAAAUUCUCAAAAAUUCAAAUUAAGCUCAUAUAAUACACAAUAACAUAAAUACAUAAUCAUAUAACUCAAGAAAAUUCAAACAUCGACUUCCCCUUUUUCUCCCUACAUUCGGCCAACACAUAGGUCAUUAGGGGUUGGUCCGUUUCGUCUCAUAUUGCAUAUAUAAGCUCAAAUAAUCAUCAAAAAGCCACAUAUAGACAUGCUUGGCUCAUAACUCAUCUUAUAUACAGGAUCUCAUGUAUGCACGCAAACUAAACUCGGAAAAAUUUCACAAAUCAACAUCAUUAACCAAUUUAAUCAUGCUUUCUCCUUGCUAGUAGUCUAACUAUCAUAUAAACAUCAUCAAUUCAAGUAUUUAUUUCAUUACUCAAAAGUUCCCAAUUACUAGCAAACUAAACUUAACCAAUUUUAGGCAUUCUUGACAAUUAACCAAAUUGAUCCCUAAUUAUCAUUUCUAUCAUGCUUAAUAACAAUUAAACUUAGCCAAUUUAAUCAAUUAACACAUAGAUCACAAAGUCCCAAUUUUUAACAAACUAAACUUUUUGAAAAUUUGUAAACAUGCAUAAAUCAUUAAUCCAACCUUAGAUCUAUCAAAUUGACACACUUAAUAGCAUAAAUAAACAAUCAAUUAAUAAAUUAAACCAUAGAAUCAAUUUUACCCAAAUUACAUCAAACUAACUCAUAUCAAAAAUUACUAAUCAAUUUCAACCAUCAAUCCAAUCCAUCAAAUCUCAUAUAAACACUCUCAAUAGCAUAUAUCAUCCAUCAAUUCAUCAAUCAAGCCUCAAAUACAAAACUUCCCAAAUUUACACAAACUAAACUAUUUCAAAUCUCAUAUCUCUUUUUAAUUCAAUUAUCUACACAUGUAAAUAGACUAAUUAGGAACCCAAUAGUAUUUAAAUAACAUCAAUUUAAGAAAAGGAAAGAAAAAUUUUUGAAGGGUAAAAGACCCAAAUUUUCGAAAAUCACAAAGAAGGGAUAUGGGUGUUUUCUUGCUUGAUCUAUCCAUAUAUACACAUAUACAACACAUUUAAGUCUAGAUCUAAAAGGAUUCAUCACUUACUCAAGGAUUUUGAAAGAAAUAAAAAUUCUUCUCUCUAACUUCAAGCUUGAAACUCCAUCAAUCUUGCUCUUGAUUCAAAGGAAAUGAAGUUUUGAUUUGAUUUAGUGAAGAUCUAUGGUGGAGAUAUGAUUUUUGAAGCUUUGAGAAUGGUUAACAAUGGAGGAUUAAGGAAGAAAGAGAGAGAGAUGAGAGAGGGGUGAGGGGCGUGUGAAUGAGGGGAGAGAAGAGAGAGAGAGUGGUUUUGUUU